rnacentral:tRNA from 1 species
GAUAAAAUGGCUGAGUAAGCAUUAGGCUGUAAACCUAAGGACAGAGGUAGAGCCCUCUUUUUAUC